AUCUCGGGUUGAGGCGGAAAGGAUUAUGUGACGCGUGUGGCUUAUGUAAUUGCGUUUUGAGGAUAUGGGCGCAGAAGUUACGAAGAGUUCAUUUAGUCGUUGUUGAGAUGCUUUGUAUUGUGUUAGUUAUGGUUUAUUGUACCCUCGCCUUUAUCUUGAUAUGAUCUGUAAGAGGGAUAG